GAGUUUGAUCAUGGCUCAGAACGUACGCUGGCGGCACGCCUAACACAUGCAAGUCGAACGAAGUAGCAAUACUUAGUGGCAGACGGGUGAGUAACAUGCGGGUAUCUACCCUUUGGCCUGGAAUAACACGAGGAAACUUGUGCUAAUACCGGAUAAGUCUUUACGGAGAAAGCUUUAUGCACCAUUGGAUGAGCCCGCACUUGAUUAGUUUGUUGGUAGGGUAAUGGCCUACCAAGACUAUGAUCAAUAGCUGAUUUGAGAGGAUGAUCAGCCACAUUGGGACUGAGACACGGCCCAAACUCCUACGGGAGGCAGCAGUGGGGAAUCUUGCACAAUGGAGGAAACUCUGAUGCAGCGAUGCCGCGUGAGUGAAGAAGGCCCUUGGGUUGUAAAGCUCUUUCGUCGGGGAAGAAAAUGACUGUACCCGAAUAAGAAGGUCCGGCUAACUUCGUGCCAGCAGCCGCGGUAAUACGAAGGGACCUAGCGUAGUUCGGAAUUACUGGGCUUAAAGAGUUCGUAGGUGGUUGAAAAAGUUAGUGGUGAAAUCCCAGAGCUUAACUCUGGAACUGCCAUUAAAACUUUUCAGCUAGAGUAUGAUAGAGGAAAGCAGAAUUUCUAGUGUAGAGGUGAAAUUCGUAGAUAUUAGAAAGAAUACCAAUUGCGAAGGCAGCUUUCUGGAUCAUUACUGACACUGAGGAACGAAAGCAUGGGUAGCGAAGAGGAUUAGAUACCCUCGUAGUCCAUGCCGUAAACGAUGUGUGUUAGACGUUGGAAAUUUAUUUUCAGUGUCGCAGGGAAACCGAUAAACACACCGCCUGGGGAGUACGACCGCAAGGUUAAAACUCAAAUGAAUUGACGGGGACCCGCACAAGUAGUGGAGCAUGUGGUUUAAUUCGAAGAUACGCGCAGAACCUUACCAACACUUGACAUGUUCGUCGCGACUCUAAGAGAUUAGAGUUUUCGGUUCGGCCGGACGAAACACAGGUGCUGCAUGGCUGUCGUCAGCUCGUGUCGUGAGAUGUUGGGUUAAGUCCCGCAACGAGCGCAACCCUCACUUUUAGUUGCCAUCAUUAAGUUGGGCACUCUGAAAGAACUGCCAGUGAUAAGCUGGAGGAAGGUGGGGAUGACGUCAAGUCCUCAUGGCCCUUACGUGUUGGGCUACACACGUGCUACAAUGGCAUCUACAACAGGAAGCAAAACGGCAACGUUAAGCAAAUCCCGAAAAGAUGCCUCAGUUCGGAUUGCACUCUGCAACUCGAGUGCAUGAAGCUGGAAUUACUAGUAAUCGUGGAUCAGCGUGCCACGGUGAAUGCGUUCCCGGGUCUUGUACACACCGCCCGUCACACCAUGGGAGUUGGUUCUACCUUAAGGCAAGGUUUUAAACCCUUGACCACGGUAUAGUCAGCGACUGGGGUGAAGUCGUAACAAGGUAACC
rnacentral:rRNA from 1 species